rnacentral:rRNA from 1 species
AUAACUAAGCGGAGGAAAAGAAACCAAACGGGAUUCCCUUAGUAACGGCGAGCGAAAAGGGAACUGUCCAGCGCCAAGUCUUGACAUUUGAACAUGUUCAAGAGAUGCGGCGUUAAUGUGUUGGCGCAUCGUACAUUGUUCCAUGUUUCAAGUUCCUUUGACUGGGACUUCCAGAGCGGGUGCUAGGCCCAUAGAAGCACGGAACCAGUGUAUGCCGGCCAACGCAUUCUAGAGUCAGGUUGCUUGAGAGUGCAGCUUAAAGUCGGUGGUAAACUCCAUCUAAGACUAAAUAUGACAGCGAGACCGAUAGCAAACAAGUACCGUGAGGGAAAGUUGCAAAGCACUUUGAAGAGAGAGUUCAACAGUACGUGAAACCACUGGGAGGCAAACAGAUGGAACUACGAAGUGUGCGCCUCGGUCGAUUCAAUCAACGCCGUCGGUCAGCGGUGCCUGUUUGCGGGUCUUCUCGGAGAUCGUUCAGGUGCCGUGUACGGCCGGCGGAGUUGGUGCAUUUCGUGCCGAGGAUGCUAAGCCACGUUCGACUAGAUUGUUGGGACGGCCGUAGGACUGGAUCCGGGAAAGGUGCCCGUCGAUUGCUUGCAAUGGACGGAGUUAUAGGCCUGGAUCGGCACCGUCGCCUAACAUGCUGGUCGAUGGAAUUUCUCCGCUUGGAGUAAAACUGUGUCUGCCUGCGGCUGCCAGUCGAUGUUUCGGAGUGUUCUUUACGUGUCCUUGGAUGCGGAAAGACGCCCCAAAGAUGUCGGCUCGUGGUUGUUUGCGUGGCACGGAAGAACGGUGGCGCGAGUAGGUCGGUCUCCAUCUGACCCGUCUUGAAACACGGACCAAGGAGCCUAUCAUAUACGCGAGUCGCUCGGUCUUGUUUAGGCCCGGGAGGCGCAAUGAAAGUAAAGCUACGAAACUCGAUCUGGGUUGCAGUAGCGGCUCGCCUACUUCGUUUUAUUGGCGAUCGGGCGAAGCCGGAGCGUAUACGAUGGUACCCGAAAGAUGGUGAACUAUGCCUGGGCAAGACGAAGCCAGAGGAAACUCUGGUGGAGGUCUGUAGCGAUUCUGACGUGCAAAUCGAUCGUCAGACCUGGGUAUAGGGGCGAAAGACUAAUCGAACCAUCUAGUAGCUGGUUCCCUCCGAAGUUUCCCUCAGGAUAGCAGGCGCUCGUGAGACUCAGUCUCAUCCGGUAAAGCUAAUGAUUAGAGGUCUUGGGGUUGAAACGACCUCAACCUAUUCUCAAACUUUAAAUGGGUGAGAUGGUUGACUUUCUUGAUUGAAGCCAACCAAUUGGAUGUGAGUGCCUAGUGGGCCAGCUUUGGUAAGCAGAACUGGCGCUGUGGGAUGAACCAAACGUCGAGAUAAGGCAUCAAAUGCGUACGCUCAUCAGACCCCAUGAAAGGUGUUGGUUGCUAUAGACAGCAGGACGGUGGCCAUGGAAGUCGGAAUCCGCUAAGGAGUGUGUAACAACUCACCUGCCGAAGCAACUAGCCCUGAAAAUGGACGAUGCUGUAGCGUGGAGCCGAUACUCGACCGUAACGGCGAUGCUCAACAAGAAUGCGAUGUCGUUACGAGUAGGAGGGCCGCAAUGGUAGCGUUGAAGGUGUCAGACGUGAGUCUGCCUGGAGCUGCCAUUGUUGCAGAUCUUGGUGGUAGUAGCAAAUACUCAAGUGAGAAUCUUGAGGACUAACGUGGAGAAGGGUUCCAUGUGAACAGCAGUUGGACAUGGUUCAGUCGGUCCUAAGGAAGCGGAGAAAUCCGUUAAAACAGUCCACUUUCAUGACAAUGAGAAAUGAUCUGGCGACUGAUUUUCCGAAAGGGAAUCGGGUCAAUAUUCCCGAACUGAGACAGGGAGGAUGUGCUCUCGGGCACUGAUGCGGUAACGCGAUCAAAUUCGGAGACAUCGGUGGCAGUCCUGGGAAGAGUUGUCUUUUCUCUAUAAGGCGUCGAAUCCAUGAAAACAGCUUGUCUGGAGAUAUGGAUGUUGACACCGAAGAGCUCAGCGGUUCUUGCUGAGUCCGGUGCGCUGCUAUCGGUCCUUGAAAAUCCGAAGGCGAGGUUUACCUCCGUGCUCAGCCGUACCAAUAUCCGCAGCAGGUCUCCAAGGUUAACAGCCUCUAGUUUCUAGAAUAAUGUAGGUAAGGGAAGUCGGCAAAACUGAUCCGUAACUUCGGGAUAAGGAUUGGCUCUGAAGGAUGGGCCGUUCGGGCUAUGGUCAGAAACGGGUGAUGCGCCUGACUGGGACUGGACGCCGGCAACGGCGAUCGGACCCGUGUUGGCGUCUGCCCGCGGACGGCUAUGGCUACGCCUUGGCGCCCCGUGCGUCGAGUGUCGUUUCGGGCGGCAWGAAACAUCUGACUCAGAACUGGCACGGACCCCGGGAAUCCGACUGUCUAAUUAAAACAAAGCAUUGCGAUGGCCGGCGACCGGUGUUGACGCAAUGUGAUUUCUGCCCAGUGGUAUGAAUGUCAAUGUGAAGAAAUUCACUUAAGCGCU